GUCUGGGGAUCUGCCCGAUAGAGGGGGAUAACCACUGGAAACGGUGGCUAAUACCGCAUAACGUCGCAAGACCAAAGAGGGGGACCUUCGGGCCUCUCACUAUCAGAUGAACCCAGAUGGGAUUAGCUAGUAGGCGGGGUAACGGCCCACCUAGGCGACGAUCCCUAGCUGGUCUGAGAGGAUGACCAGCCACACUGGAACUGAGACACGGUCCAGACUCCUACGGGAGGCAGCAGUGGGGAAUAUUGCACAAUGGGCGCAAGCCUGAUGCAGCCAUGCCGCGUGUAUGAAGAAGGCCUUCGGGUUGUAAAGUACUUUCAGCGGGGAGGAAGGCAGUGAGGUUAAUAACCUUACUGAUUGACGUUACCCGCAGAAGAAGCACCGGCUAACUCCGUGCCAGCAGCCGCGGUAAUACGGAGGGUGCAAGCGUUAAUCGGAAUUACUGGGCGUAAAGCGCACGCAGGCGGUCUGUUAAGUCAGAUGUGAAAUCCCCGGGCUUAACCUGGGAACUGCAUUUGAAACUGGCAGGCUUGAGUCUCGUAGAGGGGGGUAGAAUUCCAGGUGUAG
rnacentral:rRNA from 1 species